rnacentral:rRNA from 1 species
GCUCAGGAUGAACGCUAGCGGCAGGCCUAACACAUGCAAGUCGAGGGGCAGCACGAGUAGCAAUACUUGGUGGCGACCGGCGCACGGGUGAGUAACGCGUAUGUAACCUGCCCUUAACAGGGGAAUAGCCCGAAGAAAUUCGGAUUAAUGUCCCAUAAUAUUACGAGUUCGCAUGGACAUGUAAUAAAAACUCAGGUGGUUAAGGAUGGGCAUGCGUGACAUUAGAUAGUUGGUGAGGUAACGGCUCACCAAGUCAGCGAUGUCUAGGGGGCCUGAGAGGGUAGUCCCCCACACUGGUACUGAGACACGGACCAGACUCCUACGGGAGGCAGCAGUGAGGAAUAUUGCGCAAUGGAGGCAACUCUGACGCAGCCAUGCCGCGUGCAGGAAGACGGUCCUAUGGAUUGUAAACUGCUUUUAUACGGGAAUAAACUUUCGCACGUGUGCGGAAUUGAAUGUACCGUAAGAAUAAGGAUCGGCUAACUCCGUGCCAGCAGCCGCGGUAAUACGGAGGAUCCAAGCGUUAUCCGGAUUUAUUGGGUUUAAAGGGUGCGUAGGCGGAAUUGUAAGUCAGUGGUGAAAUCUUGCAGCUUAACUGUAAAAUUGCCAUUGAUACUGCUAUUCUUGAGUACAGUUGAGGUAGGCGGAAUGUGUAAUGUAGCGGUGAAAUGCUUAGAUAUUACACAGAACACCGAUUGCGUAGGCAGCUUACUAAGUUGUAACUGACGCUGAGGCACGAAAGCGUGGGGAUCGAACAGGAUUAGAUACCCUGGUAGUCCACGCUGUAAACGAUGAUCACUCGUUGUUGGCGAUACACAGUCAGCGACCAAGCGAAAGCAUUAAGUGAUCCACCUGGGGAGUACGGUCGCAAGACUGAAACUCAA